rnacentral:tRNA from 1 species
CCGGAUGUAGCGCAGAGGCAGGCGCACCGGUCUCGCAGGCCGGGCACGCCGGUUCGAAUCCGGCCGUCGGGC